rnacentral:rRNA from 1 species
GACGAACGCUGGCGGCGUGCUUAACACAUGCAAGUCGAACGCUGAAGCUCAGCUUUUGUUGGGUGGAUGAGUGGCGAACGGGUGAGUAACACGUGAGUAACCUGCCCCCUUCUUUGGGAUAACGCCCGGAAACGGGUGCUAAUACUGGAUAUUCACUGGUCUUCGCAUGGGGGUUGGUGGAAAGGGUUUUUCUGGUGGGGGAUGGGCUCGCGGCCUAUCAGCUUGUUGGUGGGGUGAUGGCCUACCAAGGCUUUGACGGGUAGCCGGCCUGAGAGGGUGACCGGUAACAGUGGGACUGAGAUACGGCCAAGACUCCUACGGGAGGCAGCAGUGGGGAAUAGUGCACAAUGGGCGCAAGCCUGAUGCAGCGACGCCGCGUGAGGGAUGGAGGCCUUCGGGUUGUGAACCUCUUUCGCUCAUGGUCAAGCCGCAACAAUGGUUGUGGUGAGGGUAGUGGGUAAAGAAGCGCCGGCUAACUACGUG